UCCUGUGAAUCUUGGUGUGAAAUUAAUAUGGAUCGAAUCUGGAGGCAUCAAAUCCUAACACCUCCCUUGUCAGCCAAAAAAAAACAAAAAUUUAGUGCUAUCUAUGGAUUCUGAUGUUCUUUCUUCUUGCCUAGAUUCUGCUAAAUACUUGCACCUUUUGAUGUUGGGUGCAGUUGCGGAGCUUGCAGAACUGAAAGGUACUUGUUUGAAGU
rnacentral:lncRNA from 1 species